rnacentral:rRNA from 1 species
UAGGGAAUCUUCCGCAAUGGACGAAAGUCUGACGGAGCAACGCCGCGUGAGUGAAGAAGGAUUUCGGUUCGUAAAACUCUGUUGUUAGGGAAGAAAAAAUGUAUAGUAACUAUAUACAAAAGAGACGGUACCUAACCAGAAAGCCACGGCUAACUACGUGCCAGCAGCCGCGGUAAUACGUAGGUGGCAAGCGUUGUCCGGAAUUAUUGGGCGUAAAGCGCGCGCAGGUGGUUUAGAAAGUCUGAUGUGAAAGCCCACGGCUCAACCGUGGAGGGUCAUUGGAAACUAAUAAACUGGAGUGCAGGAGAGAAAAGUGGAAUUCCUAGUGUAGCGGUGAAAUGCGUAGAGAUUAGGAGGAACACCGGUGGCGAAAGCGGCUUUUUGGCCUGCAACUGACACUGAGGCGCGAAAGCGUGGGGAGCAAACAGG